CUAUCAUCUGCAAAGAAUAAUUGAGAUAAAGUAGGAGCACCUCGACAAAUAUUAAUGUCAUGGAUAAUGUUACUUUCUAUUCCACAGGAUAUAAGUCUAGAGAAGGUCUCUGCACAGAUAAUGAACAAAUACGGGGAGAUUGAAUCACAUUGCCUAAGACCUCUGGAUGGAGUAACAUUACCACAAUCCUUCCCAUUAAUCUUGAAAGAAAAGGAGACGCUAGUAAUACAUGAUAUGAUACGACGAAUCUAGCUAUCACCAAAACCCAUCUUAGACAUAACACGCUCUAAAAAACUCCAUAUCAUAAAAACAAAAUAUAAAUUUAGAGUAAUCGAUAAAAAAUUUAAAAAAUUAAUUAGAAAAUUUGCCGAAGUAUUAGUCUACAACUACACAUAUUGAUUAUUGAAUCAAUCCGACAGGCGACGAGAAACACUUGAUAUUCCCAAACCAAAAAUUGAUUUCAUUUUCCAAGCGAAAAAUCCAUCGUUUCUGGAGAAACAAACAUUGAUCGAGCUUCCAACUUCCUACACUUCUCCAAACUCCGAGCAGAAUUUGAGUCCCUUUCUCUAUACUCCGAAGCGCAACCAAAUUUGCACUAAAAUGGCGAAUAGUAACUUACCUCGGAGAAUCAUCAAGGAAACUCCGCGUCUUCUUAGCGAACCAGCUUCUGGUAUAAGUGCUUCACCAUCUAUAGAUAAUAUGUGAGACUUUAAUGUUAUGAUUCUUGGGCCUUCGCAGUCUCCAUAUGAAGGUACAUCUAUUACCAAUGAGGUAAUUAUUUUUUUUCAAAAUUGCGAUUAUAAUUCUUUUGAGGUUCGACAUUUUGUGGCGGUUUCUUCGAAAAUGGGUUUUUGAUUGGAUAUCUUUUUCGGGAUAAUCGAUGAAGUUAUGGGGUAAGGAGAAAAAGAGAGAGAGAGAAGGGUAAGGUAUUUUUAGCUAGCGAGCAUUCGAUUCGUUGGAGUUCUUUCUUUAAUUUGAUACACUAAAUUUCUGGUGGAAAUGUUAAUAGGACAUGACCUCAAGAUGACUUUUUAUUGGCUCUAAUUUGUGCAAGGCAUUUAGCAGUAUUGCUGCUAUCCCUCUCUAAGGUUUUCAAUUAAAGCCAUAGUUUAAUUGUUGUUUGGCUACUUUAAUAUGUAUAGCCUUAAAUUACAGAAAGGUUGUUGGUUCUAAAUUUGAAAGUAGUCUCUUGCAGAAAUGCAGAGUACACCUUUGAGACUCUUUUUCAGAUCUCUUGCUUUACGAGUAAUGACGCUUUGUGUACAGGCCUAUUUUUUGUAGCCAUAAAACUCGAUGCUAUGCUUGAAUAUGUAUGCCUUCGUUGUGCGUUGGCAUGUCAGAAUUGUUAUAUAAUUGGUUUGGGCUUAGUGCUCUUUCGGUUUUAAAUGAGGCAUGGAAGGUGUUGUCGCAUAGGUGAGUUGUAAACAUUAGUUCGUUUCUUUUGUGUGGAUGAUUAUGGGUUACAAGCUAGUUCACUCUUGUUAUGCUGUCUCACCUUCUUUACCUCAUACCUUGGCUCUCCACUUCCCAUUUGGUGUGAGAACGUGACUGAACAUUUUGUAUGAUAUGUGCUUUAGGGGUCUCUAGUAAAGAUUAAACUGACUUGGCUCUCCAACUUUGUUUGCUUUUCUCCCAACCUCUUCAAUUUUCACCAAAGUGUUGUGGAAUUGCAAGCUGUAAUUGUUAUUGCCACAAGCAUGUUAUGCUUGUUGAAUUAUGAGGAUUCAAAAGAAAAACCGAGGGAACUUUCACAUAAAUCUGCACUCCGUCCCAUUUUUGGUUGUCAAACUUUUCUUUCUUAAGUCUUAAUUGUUUUAACAUUUUGGUUUUGGAAUAUAAUGAACCAUAGUGAAAUGACUUAUUAAAUCAAUUAACUUGUGUCAUUUUCUUGAACUUUGCUUUCGAAGGCAAAGGAUAAUUAAAUUAAACACAAAAAAGGUUUGAAAGUUAUAGAAAUGAUGGAAUACAUCCCAAUUUGUGUUGGUCCUAAAUAAAUUUUUAUUUCCUUAAUUCAUUUUCAUUUCUUCGAUAUGACAACUAAUUCAAAGGCAUCCUAAGUGCUUUUGGAAGGCUUUAGGCGUAAGAUUAUGUUCUCUUCUUACCAUGUUCAGAUUUUCUUUGUUUUUGAUUGAAACCCAUCCAAUAUUAGGGGCUUAUGCAAAGAAGCACCCCUAAAUUUCCAACCCAUGCCAUAUGUCACACAUCUUACAUAAUUAUCAUAAUUCAACCUUAUUUUUUUACUUACCCACAUAAUUGAAACUCUACAUCUUUCCCCAUUUUACUGUUGCCCUCGUCUUUCCUCUACUGUCACUUCGUUGAUGCCUCCACCAAAUCUGUAGCACCUCUAUCAGUCAUUCCUUUAGCUUCUUCAUCUUCUCAGUUGAUGCCUCCUUUCCUUUCACAGUCAAGGAAAAUGGACCAUUUUCGUUCUUUGUGGACCAAAAUUCCCAAAGGAGUUUUAACGGAUGAUAUAAUAUUGAUGGUCGGAAAAUGCUGGCAUAAGUUACAGUAUUCAAGCGCUGCUGAGCUGAGUGCUCCAAAUCCUGAUGACCCUUGUGUCUAAGAACAUUGCUAAGCAUUGGAAAACAGAUGAGGCAGAAGCUGUUGAAAACUGGUGAGUGAAUUUAAUUUCGCAAGACUUACCGUAUUUCACAAAACCUGUUUCUUUGGUUUGCAAAGAUUUCAGAGUCCUUUUCAGGAAGGGAGGGGAUGAUGUCAUCAAAGGAUUUUCUUUCAUAAAUUGGUUAGCUAAAGAAUGGAGUUGUCUAUAUGCUAGUGAGGCUUGAUAUUACACCCAUAACAUUACCCUCCUUGGAAUAACAAAUGUAUGAACUGCGUUAUCUGACUGAUUUUUAAACCAAGCUGCAGGUUGGAACUUGGAAAUGAAUAUCAAGUAGCAAAUUUGGAGAAAAUAUGAUAAAAUGUAAUUAUAAGAUAUAAGCUUGAUGAAUUUGAACCUAAUGUUGCCUUGAUGGUAUGGUUUUAUGGACUUUGGAGUAUGAUUUUUAAACCCAAACAUUUUUUUUCUUUAUUCUACAUUUAGAUGUUUUUUGAACUUGCUGAAAUUCAACACAGAUCAACCUCGUUUAUGGUAUGUUUUGUAAAAAUGAGAGUACUUUUCCCUAAUCCAACUCUUCUACGGAAUGGUUACCCAUUGUGAAUGCAUAUUUCUAAUUUUUCUAAAUUGUAAAAUUGACAUUUAGGUGAUUUAAUUAUAUGUUGUAUUGAAUAUUCAUUUGUCUUUUCAUUUUGCUAUAUCUAUUUUCAAUGGUAGGUUGUGACUUGUUAGUUUCAUAAAAUUGGUGUAGAAUAAUAUUUGCAUAAGAUGAUAGUAAAUUGAAAUGGAUGGUCCAGGUGAUUUCGUCUUUUGGUUUAUUGGUUAUUGGUAUUAAUAUUUUUCUCUUUAUAAUUUGUCAUUAUUAGUAGCAAUUUUAAAGGUACAGGUAUCAAAAUAACAUGAUGAAUGACGUGGAAUAUCUAUAAUCUACUAUGAGUAUCCUACUUGUGGACAACAUAUUAUAGUACUUUUACAUUAUUACUGCAAUUAUUCUUCCAUGUACCCUCCUAACUUUUAAGCUCUAUGUUAUUGUUAGGUCUAUUCAUUUCAUUUGGUCCCUCUACUUACAAGAGACAAUUCCAAACCUCAAACUAAUUGAUGUAUGAUGUUUUUUU